rnacentral:rRNA from 1 species
UGGUGAUGAUAGCGGAGAGGACACACCCGUUCCCAUCUCGAACACGGAAGUUAAGCUCUCCAGCGCCGAUGGUACUUGGGGCGGGAGCCCCCGGGAGAGUAGGUCGUCGCCA